GACGAACGCUGGCGGCGUGCUUAACACAUGCAAGUCGAACGGUAAGGCCCUUCGGGGUACACGAGUGGCGAACGGGUGAGUAACACGUGGGUGAUCUGCCCUGCACUUCGGGAUAAGCCUGGGAAACUGGGUCUAAUACCGGAUAGGACCACUGCCUGCAUGGGUGGUGGUGGAAAGCUUUUGCGGUGUGGGAUGGGCCCGCGGCCUAUCAGCUUGUUGGUGGGGUGAUGGCCUACCAAGGCGACGACGGGUAGCCGGCCUGAGAGGGUGACCGGCAACACUUGGACUGAGAUACGGCCGAGACGCGUACGGGAGGCAGCAGAGGGGAAGAUUGAACAAUGGGCGCAAGCCUGAUGCAGCGACGCCGCGUGAGGGAUGACGGCCUUCGGGUUGUAAACCUCUUUCAGCACCGACGAAGCGCAAGUGACGGUAGGUGCAGAAGAAGGACCGGCCAACUACGUGCCAGCAGCCGCCGUAA
rnacentral:rRNA from 1 species